rnacentral:rRNA from 1 species
CCAGACUCCUACGGGAGGCAGCAGUGGGGAAUAUUGCACAAUGGGGGAAACCCUGAUGCAGCGACGCCGCGUGAGUGAAGAAGUAUUUCGGUAUGUAAAGCUCUAUCAGCAGGGAAGAAAAUGACGGUACCUGACUAAGAAGCCCCGGCUAACUACGUGCCAGCAGCCGCGGUAAUACGUAGGGGGCAAGCGUUAUCCGGAUUUACUGGGUGUAAAGGGAGCGUGGACGGCAUGGCAAGUCAGAUGUGAAAGCCCGGGCUCAACCCCGGGACUGCAUUUGAAACUGUCAGGCUGGAGUGCAGGAGAGGUAAGUGGAAUUCCUAGUGUAGCGGUGAAAUGCGUAGAUAUUAGGAGGAACACCAGUGGCGAAGGCGGCUUACUGGACUGUAACUGACGUUGAGGCUCGAAAGCGUGGGGAGCAAACAGGAUUAGAUACCCCAGUAU